rnacentral:piRNA from 1 species
UGGUAUUAUAAAUGUGGUUUUUAAAGAA